GAAGACGAGAAAAGAGAAGAGACAAGAGUGACCUUGACCGAGUGACUAAAUGAAAGUAAAACAAAGGAUAAUAUUUUAAGAGUUUCAACCUAUACCCAGACUUUUAAGUGGCAGCAUAGUGUGAUAAAGAGAAGUGCUUCCAAAAUGAGCUCGCAUGAUAAAAUGAAGAGAAAAGACACCACCAUUGAUUUCAGCAGGUUGAAGAGACUGAGAUCAGAUGCUGCUGGAUCCUGCAGCAGUGUGUCUAUGAAAAGUACAAGAUCAAUGCCUUG